rnacentral:rRNA from 1 species
GACAUAGGGCGCGAGCGUUGUCCGGAUUUACUGGGCGUAAAGAGCUCGUAGGCGGUUUGUCGCGUCGUCUGUGAAAACCCACGGCUCAACUGUGGGCUUGCAGUCGAUACGGGCAGGCUAGAGUUCGGUAGGGGAGACUGGAAUUCCUGGUGUAGCGGUGAAAUGCGCAGAUAUCAGGAGGAACACCGGUGGCGAAGGCGGGUCUCUGGGCCGAUACUGACGCUGAGGAGCGAAAGCGUGGGGAGCGAACAGG